UACAGAGGGGGCAAGCGUUAUUCGGAAUUACUGGGCGUAAAGGGCGCGUAGGCGGCUUGGCAAGUGGAAGGUGAAAUCCCUCGGCUUAACCGAGGAACUGCCCUCCAAACUGCUUCGCUUGAGACCGGGAGAGGUGAGUGGAAUUCCCAGUGUAGCGGUGAAAUGCGUAGAUAUUGGGAGGAACACCAGUGGCGAAGGCGGCUCACUGGACCGGUACUGACGCUGAUGCGCGAAAGCGUGGGGAGCAAACGGG
rnacentral:rRNA from 1 species